UACGAAGGGGGCUAGCGUUGCUCGGAAUUACUGGGCGUAAAGCGCACGUAGGCGGAUUGUUAAGUCGGGGGUGAAAUCCUGGAGCUCAACUCCAGAACUGCCUUCGAUACUGGCGAUCUCGAGUUCGGGAGAGGUGAGUGGAACUGCGAGUGUAGAGGUGAAAUUCGUAGAUAUUCGCAAGAACACCAGUGGCGAAGGCGACUCUUUGGCCUGUAACUGACACUGAGGCGCGAAAGCGUGGGGAGCAAACAGG
rnacentral:rRNA from 1 species